CAGUCGCCACGGUAAUACGGAGGGGGCUAGCGUUGUUCGGAAUUGCUGGGCGUAAAGCGCACGUAGGCGGCUUGGUAAGUUAGAGGUGAAAGCCUGGAGCUCAACUCCAGAAUUGCCUUUAAGACUGCCGAGCUAGCAGGUGAGAGAGGUAAGUGGAAUUCCGAGUGUAGAAGUGAAAUUCGUAGAUAUUCGGAAGAACACCAGUGGCGAAGGCGACUACCUGGUCUGGCAUUGACGCUCAUGUGCGAAAGCGUGGGGAGCAAACAGGAUUAGAUACCCCGGUAGUCCCUGUCUCUUAUAA
rnacentral:rRNA from 1 species